GGCUAGCUCAAUCGGUAGAGCGUGAGACUCUUAAUCUCAAGGUUGUGGGUUCGACCCGUAAGCAUCA
rnacentral:tRNA from 2 species